GCCUACGGGGGGCAGCAGUGGGGGAUAUUGCACAAUGGGGGGAACCCUGAUGCAGCGACGCCGCGUGAAGGAAGAAGUAUCUCGGUAUGUAAACUUCUAUCAGCAGGGAAGAAAAUGACGGUACCUGACUAAGAAGCCCCGGCUAACUACGUGCCAGCAGCCGCGGUAAUACGUAGGGGGCAAGCGUUAUCCGGAUUUACUGGGUGUAAAGGGAGCGUAGACGGCGCGGCAAGUCUGGAGUGAAAGGCAGGGGCUUAACCCCUGAACUGCUUUGGAAACUGCCUUGCUAGAGUGCUGGAGAGGUA
rnacentral:rRNA from 1 species